CACGUAGGGGGCGAGCGUUGUCCGGAUUUAUUGGGCGUAAAGAGCGCGUAGGCGGCUCGGAAAGUCGGUCGUGAAAUGCCGGGGCUCAACCCCGGGACUGCGUCCGAUACUCCCGAGCUGGAGGCAGGUAGGGGAGAUCGGAAUUCCUGGUGUAGCGGUGAAAUGCGCAGAUAUCAGGAGGAACACCGGUGGCGAAGGCGGAUCUCUGGGCCUUGCCUGACGCUGAGGCGCGAAAGCCAGGGGAGCGAACGGG
rnacentral:rRNA from 1 species